UGGACAGAUUAUUGUAUUCGACUGUAUUCACGGUGUGAAAUAGGGUACACUAUUUUUAAAACGGAAAGUGAAUCAAUUAACAUAAUAGACUCCU
rnacentral:pre_miRNA from 1 species